AACAAACGCUGGCGGCGUGCCUAAUACAUGCAAGUCGAACGGGGAAAGCUUUCGGGUGAGUACUAGUGGCGCACGGGUGAGGAACGCGUGGAUAAUCUGCCUUAGAGUGGGGGAUAACUAGUCGAAAGAUUAGCUAAUACCGCAUAAGACCACAGGAGCUGCGGCUCAAGGGGUCAAAGGUUUUUCGCUCUAGGAUGAGUCCGCGUAAGAUUAGCUAGUUGGUGAGGUAACGGCUCACCAAGGCGACGAUCUUUAACUGGUCUGAGAGGAUGAUCAGUCACACUGGAACUGAGACACGGUCCAGACUCCUACGGGAGGCAGCAGUAGGGAAUAUUGCACAAUGGAGGAAACUCUGAUGCAGCGACGCCGCGUGAGUGAUGAAGGCCUUCGGGUCGUAAAGCUCUGUCGCAGGGGAAUAACACAAUGAAGGUACCCUGUAAGAAAGGAUCGGCUAACUUCGUGCCAGCCGCCGCCGUAAAAC
rnacentral:rRNA from 1 species